CAAAAAGGCAAGAUAAAGCAGAUGGCCAACUGUACAUUCCAAUCAAGUUGGCGGAAGUUUAUGCCUUGACGAAAUACAACAACACCUAAGUCAGAGCUAGAACAAAAAUUCUUCCAGGACAAAAUAGCGGGCUCAUCAUCAAUCGCUGACCGAUGUUGCGGAAUUGAAGAUGUUCGCAAACAACGCCGAAGAGCCGUUAAACAUUGGAAUAAAAAGGGAAAUAACAAAUUUUGAUCGAUAAAAAAACCAAUAAAUUAACAGCUCAUUGCACUUUUUGUUCUAAAAGCAUUACAAUCGACUCUGCAACAAUAUACACAUUUUGUUUUGAGAUGAAAAUAUAA